CCCCAGUUUUUCCUCCUUCCAACCUACUCUCUUCCUCCUCCUCCCUCCCCUCCAGAUCACCGUUCUGUCUGCAAUGACUGAGGAAGCUGCUGUCGCCAUCAAAGCCAUGGCUAAAUAAAGGAACCACAGGCAACAGCCGCAGCCGCAACAAAUUGUAAUGAACCAGAGAGGAAUCGCAACCCACAAAAAGACUGUCAGAUUGGGCUCCAAACCACUCAAAAUCUUGGUUUUUUUUUCUUUUUUCUUUGUCGUCUUCUCUUUCUUCUUCUUCUCUUUGCCUUCCUUUGAAACGAAACAAACAACUCCCCCUUCCCUCCCCCCCUUUGAAUCCUCUCGGUUCCUCCCUUUUGAAUUAAAACAAAACAAAACCAAGCUUUUUAUUUUGUGGUCUUUAAAAAAAAAAGGAAAAAAG